GGCACAGACGUGGCCGGCCAGGUGGGCUGGAGGAUGAGAGAAGCAGAAGACAGUCGCCUGGGUCUGUCGUUAGCUCUGUGGUUUCCCCGGUACGGUCGCCAGGCUCCCCGUUUCCCGUGCUCAAGACAGGCGGGCGGGGUGCGCUCUCACCUGGAGUCCCCGGGCAAGUCCAUGGGGGAAGCGGCGGCUCCGGGGAGUCCCUGGGGGAUCCCAGGCUGCAGCCUGGGAUGGGGGGGGAGCGGGGGAGCGGGGAGUGAGGGCCAGCCCCUCCCCUGGGGCUCCGCCCUUCAUGGUCCGCCCAAGGCUCCCGGUAGCCCACAGGCCGGGGCCCUGGGGCGUAAAAGGGCGCCCCCGGCUGGCCGUCCGGAGCAAGUGUCUUCCCGCUGCCGUCGCCAGAAAUCAGUGGAUCACCCGCGCCCAGACUGGCACUUGCCGGGAGAACCUGGCUUGCAGCGGCCCCAGUUCUCCCACGGCCCGAGCCUCCUGGUGGGGCCUUUGUCCCUGAAGAAUCCACCCUGAGAUCCCCCGGGAUCAGCUGGGAUCCCGGUCUUGGGAGGCUCACUUUCUGCCGGACCCCUCUGCAAUCCUCAUCCACUGCCAGCGAGUGGCCGAGAACUCCGAAGCAAUACUCUCACACACCGACGGCACCCCCCCGCCCCACCAGAUCCCCUACACUAGAUCCCUGUGGAAAGAAUCCUACAGCGCGGUUCCUCCAAUCAGACGCCGCGAGGAUCCUCCUCUCCCUCCGCUCGGUGCCCUCCCCCGUGCGCCGCUCACCGCCGCCUCCCGCGGAUCCCGGGUCUUCGACGGCUCCCACCUCCGGCUCCUUUAAAACCAGCCUUACCCAGCACUGUCCAACCGCCAAGGGCCUUCUUCUCGGAGCCUUCGGGCGCCGCCCAAUCGCCGGUCCCCGUCUUCCGGGGUGGUGAGAAACUAAGUGAAGCCACCUGGCAGCCAUCUUCCCUAGGGGCAAGAAGCCAAAUUGGGCAGCGCCGCCAUUAUAGUUGAGGGCAGGUAGCUCUGUCCUCGAAGAACCGAAGUGGACCGGAUGGGGUCGUUUUGUGAAGGCCAGUCAGUGGCCGAAGACUAUGCCAAGUUUCUUGAACUACUGAGGCAGCUGUAGUGACUAGAGUGCCGCCACGUUUUUUAAGGGCAUCUUCCGGUUUGGGUUUUUUUUUUUUUUUUUUUUUUUUUUUUGUUCUCAGGCCAAUAAACGUGAACUGAGUUGCUAGCGACAUGUGAAAUUCCCAAUUUCCUAGAGAGGCCUCAUCGAGGGCGGUUCCGGUUACCCUCCGGGAUUCCUCAGCCGGGUUCCCACGUCGCUGAGAAGAUCGGGAGGGACUAGGGGCCAGAGACUAAUGAUAAUGCCACCUCCAGCUCCUGUGUUUGCGCUAUGUCCCGGAGAGACUGCUGGGCUGGGCCAAAAUUGGGAGGAGGCUGGGCGUUGACCUUCCUGGAGGUGUGGGGGUUUCUGCGGCGCACACCGAGUGUUCAGUAUAGGGGCGCCUUUGCAGGGGACCAAUAACCCACCUUGGCGUGCUCCGUGGGGUCCGGCAGCUUGCCUCUUUGUUCCGGGCUCCCACUAACCUUCUUUCAAGAGGGGCCUGGAAAUAGCCCUUAGUAGUAAGGGAUCGAGGGUGCAUUCCCACUGCUUGGGAGAGUCUGCAUCAUGCAACCUUUACCAGGAGUCGGGCUAUUAGUGGGGGAGAAGUGGGCAGGCACUAGCUUCUUGAACUGUGAAGGGGCUCUCACCGCCUAACCAGAGCCUGUACCUCCACUAGUUCUCCUUCCCCAGAAUUUCCUCGUCCAAACCAGUACCUAAUUUUCGUGGUGGAACAAGAGAGCCUGAAGCCUAGAAUCCUGGGUCUGAGAUGAAGGUGCAGCCCAACCCAGCAGAAUUCUGCCUUCUGGGACUUCGUGAUAAACGUAUUGACAUAGUGAGAAUGAUAUGGAAAGAACAGACUCGGCAAGAGCCGGUGUGGAAAGUGAAGACUCCCCCACUCUGUAAGCAAGGGCUCAUCCAGAUAGCUCUCCCAAGCCUACAGCAAUUCUCUUUGUAACACAAGGCCUGCUGGGUCCUCUGGAAAUCCAUGAUGAGGCUUCUGGUGUUGGGGGAGCAGCAGCUUUUCCAGUUGGAAGUGUUCUCUCUUCCCUGGAUGGGGGCUGGCUGUCUGGUGAUGCUUGCAGCUGUGAGUGCUUGGAGAUCCUUCUCAACCUUGUUGAGUUGAGAGGCCCUCUGAGGCGCUCACUUUCUUAAACAGGUGCUUCCCCAGCCCCAAGGCAAGAAAAGCACUCAAGGGUAGAGCAUGCCUGAUCAGAGUUUUGAUUCUCUGGGUCUCCUGAAGAAGUCAGGCAAUGGCAAAGGACAUAGGCUUAAGGAAAAGGUCUGGGUCUGAGAAUUUGGCAGGGACGGCCCAGCCCUAAGACCUAACUUGGGGUGCUGGUGUUUAUCAAAUUGAAGUUUAAUGUAGACUGUGAUGUCUUGGCCUUAAGCUCAGGUCAGCAAUAGCAAACCUGAUAGCCUCACCGUGCUACCUCUGCCUUUUUUGUGACUACCAUUUCAACAACUCUUACCUCACCCACCACCUGUGUACACACUCUAGGGCCUGGUCAAUGUGUGCUGAUCCACUGGCAAGAGGCCCCACACAACUUCCAGUGGGGCAGGUGAUGUGGCUGGAGGUUGGCCCAUCAGUGCAUCAUUGUUCAGAAACGCUAGGGUGCCUGGGUGGCUCAGUUGAUUAAGCGUCCAACUUCAGCUCAGGUCAUGAUCUCACAAUUCAUGAGUUUGAACCCCGCAUCAGGCUUUCUGCUGUCAGCACAGAGCCCACUUCGGAUCGUCUGUCCCCCUCUCUCUCUGUCCUUCCCCCGCUCGUGUGCACACACCCAUUCUCUGUCUCUCAAAAAUAAAUAAACAUUAAAAAGAAACAAACAAACAAACAAACUCUGGGUCCCAUGGACUCUGGGUCUCCCAUCUGCUUAACUAUUCUUAACCUCAGUGGUCUCACUUGUGAAAUGGGAGCAAUGAACUCUAUCAUGCCUAUCUCAAAAAUCGACUUGAAAGAUAAAGAUCAAAUAAGACACACCUGAAUGUGCCUGAUAAAUGAAGUCUCCGGUAAAAUGAGGAAGAUGGGGGCACCUGGAUGGCUCAGUCAGUUGAGCUCUUGAUUUCAGCUCAGGUCAUGAUCUAAUAGUGGAUCCUGCAUGGAGCCUGCUUAAGAUUCUCUCUCUCCCUCUUCAUCUGCCCCUCCCUAGCUCAUGCUCUCUCUUUCUCUUUCUCUCCCUCUCUCUGUCAAAAAAGAAAAAAAGAUAAAAACCACCUCUUCUUUCUCUCAGAGUACCCUAUCCCUUCUGGCCCUCAAGCCAGCUCUGCUCAGUACCUUUGUCUGCAGAAGCCUCUAGCCCGAGCUCCAGAUCAGCUGGGGUGGGAUGAGUUGGGUCGUGGCUGCAGGGGAUUGGGAAGGGUGGGAUGGUCAGCGACAGAGCUUUCCUAAGAACCACCCCUAAAAAAUGACAGGAAGCUUCAGGUUUGGGUUGCUGUUGUGGUUCCCAUCAACCAUUUAACAAGAGUUCAACUCCUCCUACAUGCUCUGCCCUGGGGAUAAACAGGUGCUUAUUCCCAGGAGGUUGGAGUUUAAGUCCCUGUACACAAAAUUGCCAUUGGCUCUACUACUUCCUGCAGCUUCUGUCCUCUCCACCUUAAAGGACUUAUUCCAGCCAGGUGGCAGCACAUGCCUGACCAACUUAGUUCCCCAGCUGAGGAGCUUUCAAGAUCCACCUCUGAGGGCUUUUCCUCUCUGGUCAGCUAUUGCUAGAAUUUGUAAGCAAAUCCUGAGAAAAGCUGGUCCUACCUAUGGUCUAACUCCUCUUCCCCAGUUAGAGAGCCACCUGCCAUCAGUUCUAUACUUGUCUCAUUGUUGUUGUUGUUGUUGUUGUUGUUGAGGGAGAGAUCAUAGGGAGGUGUCAAGGUCAGAAGAACUGAUGGUGAAGUGAUAGGGCUUAUGGUGAGGGUUUCAGAGGAAGGGAGAAGGUUGGGGGAAGUAGAGAAUCAAGAAGGUGAAGGGAGGGGUGCCUAGGUGGCUCAGUUGGCUAAGUGGCUAAGUAUCUGACUCUUGAUUUUGGCUCAGGUCAUGAUCUUGCGGUUCCUGAGUUCCAGCCCCGCAUCAGGCUCCACACAGACAGUGCAGAGUCUGCUUGGGAUUCUCCCCUCUCUUUCUCUCUCUCUCUCAAAAUAAAUAAAUACACCUAAAAAGAAAAAAGAAGGUUGGGGCGCCUGGGUGGCUCAGUUGGUUAAGCAUGGGACUUCAGCUUAGGUCGUGAUCUCAUGGUUUGUGGGUUCAAACCCCACGCUGGGCUCUGUGCUGACAGUUCAGAGCCUGGAGCCAGCUUUGGAUUCUGUCUCCCUCUCUCUCUGCUCUUACCCCACUCGAGCUGUCUCUCUCUCUCUCUCUCUCUCUCUCUC